AUCCUAUGUGGCAUUGUUUGUGGAGGUCUUGAGAUAUUUUAGGAACUAAAUAUGGAGAUAUUUUAGGAACUAAGAGAUUGAAGACCUUGAUUGUAGCAGAAACUUUCUGCUGGUUUUGUAACAGCAAAGAACAAGUUUGCUGCGAUUUCUGAAGUCCCAAAUCCAGUUGGGUGAUUAGGUUAUAAAUAGCUUAUUGUAACCUAGUUUUUGUAAGCCUCUUAGAAUGAAUUUUUAGGGGUGUGUGUGAGGUAAACCUCCCAAUCUAUGGGAAGGUUACCAUAUGUUUCUCAGUGUUCAAAGCUGAGAGUGUUUGUAACUCAAAGCCUGUAGGCAAGAGUGAUUAUGUGCUUGAACGAAGCUGUGAAGCAAGUUCAAGUUGUUUUAACAUUACAUUGUAUUUGUAGUGAUAGGAAUGGAAACUGGAGGUUUAUAUCUAGGAGUUCCUAGGUAUAAAUUGCAUUGGGUAGAGAUUAAGUGAAGAGUUGUAAACGGGGGAGUUUAACUCUGAAUUAAUACUGCUGAUAGUGGAUCUUCUUCCUGGCUUGGUAUGCCCCCAGACGUAGGUGAGUUGCACCAAACUGGGUUAACAAUUGCUUGUGUUUUUACCUUCUGCACACUAUAUUUUGUCUGUUAUAACUCAGUCUGGUUUUAGUCUGUUUAUGAAGGGAAUAACAGAUAUGACACAUAGCCUGCAGUCUGAAUGUAAAACAGAAUGUUAUGACAUUCACCAUUGACUGCUGAUAUUGAUGGACUGGUUGGUCUGUUACAGUUCACUCAUCUGUAAUGUUAGGACAGGUGAUGUUCAAACCAAUGUUGAGACAUCAUGCUGAUAAUUGGGCAGGAUAAAUAAACAUAAGGGCUAUGUUUGAUCUCUACUGUGUGUUUGCACUAGAUGGACAGAACUAGGUGUUCCUCCAUUCUAGGGUGAUAUAGAAGUAGAUGUCGUGACAUCUGUGAACGUGUGCAUAUUAGUACAAGGUUUAAUAACUGUCUUGCAGUAUUAGUUACAAUGUUGGAUCAGAUGUCAUGACUUGGAGUAGAACAUCUGAAAUCUGACUACACCAGAAUUUCAAAUGGUAUCAGAGCAGGCAUCUUGUUCUGUUUCUGGCUGAGAUCCAUGGGUGAUACUUUCUGUUAUCUUGCAAGGAGUUAUGUUAGUACUGAUGGUGGAACCGUUGGAAGGUUCUGUGAUUCAUCUGAAUGGUCCCUUGAAGUAGGUGGAUGGACUGUUCAUGACUGGAAUGGUAUGUACCUGUCUCUGGAGGUUCGCAAUUGGCCUUUGUGUGGGACAGCUGUGCCAGUAUUGAAUCACAUUCAAACUUGGUAUGGUCUUGGAGGCUGAUCUGGUGAAGUGUGUGUUCAUAGGUUGAGUGGUAUUAUGAUUUCCGCUGCAUAAUACUUGGCAAAACGCAAACUCUGAUGUAGUUUCCCCUCAUACGGAUGAAAGGUUGUUGCAUUCAAGAUUUCAUCAUAAUCUACUGAAGAUGUCAAAGAUACUUGAGUAUCCUCAAGUCCACUCAUCAUGACGUUCUCACUUCAGGAUGAUAAGAAUCACCUAAUCACUGAUUCUUUUACUCUCUUGGGUAGUGUAUAUGAAGACCUUGAAGUCCUUCAAGGAGGGUUUGUUCCAAGGAGGUGGAACUAAUGUUCUAUGGGAUGUUAGAACAUGUUGUUCAACAAGUAUGCAGCUACUAGUUGAAGAGCAGAUGUUGUUUAGGUGUCAAACAAAGGGAUACUUUUGUUUGGAACCUACUCCUGACCUGGAAGAGGAGACAUUUGUGUGAGCUAAGUUGACAAGGGUAGGGUCAACUGUGUGUAUGCUCAAGAAGGUCACUUUUAGAAGUCUGAUCUCUAGAAGUGAAGCUGGUUGAGAUGUGACAUUGUGCAAUCCCUGUUGUGUGCCUUAUUCCUGUAGACUGAUCAGGGUUGGAUAGUUGUUCCCUGAAGUACUAUGGUGUCCUGGAAGACAAGUCCCCUGGAUGAUAGAAGUCAAUAAUGGGGUAACCUGACUGUUAUUCCAUUUAAGAGGAUUGGGACCAUGAAUCUUGUUAUUCAAACACCACGAUCAGAAGUGGCAGUUCUUUCAAGGAGUGAGAAUAUGAAGAUUCAGAAGUUGGUUGAGGUAGUAUGCUCUGGCAAUGCAUAUCUACUAUUGACUGGUGUUGUUUUCGUUCACUAGUACGUAUGGUCAGCUGAAGUCUGAUUGGAGUGAUUGGAGUAUGUAUAGGUAUAACUCAUAGAGUUAGGUGCCACUGGUAGGGAUGGUGUAUGUCAUGUUGAGACAUGUCUGUACAAUGCAUGGAUAUUGGUGUGGAGUGUCCAUGAUUGUUAAUUUGAGGGGGAGUUUGGCUAACCUCCUCACGUUUGGUCAGCCUAGGGUUUGGUUGGCUGUUGACCUGUGUCACAUGGGUUUUGGCUGUUGUGUGACACAUUUGCAAGGAAGAAUUCAUCUCUCUCAUUCCUAAGGGUGAAUUUAAUUUGAGAAGAUUUUCAAAACUGUUGAAGUGCUUGCAAGCAGAAGAUGUGACACUAGAAGAGUAGUUUCAAAGUAGUCUUAUGGUGGAAGUAUCUGAAAGGAAUAUUGGGAAAGGAUUUAAGAUCAAUGUCAACUUGUGCCAAGUACAAGUAUUUAAUUGAUUAUCCUUGGAGCUCAAGAUAACUGAUGUUCUUAAAGAUGUUGGAACAUCUCUUCUUCAAGACCCUGUGCAGAAUCACAGGAAGGAUAGUACAUUGGUUUAUGAUCUAUCUCUUUGGUGGGCAGCAAAAGCAUAUGAUCUCUGAAAAGGUUUCCUGGCAAGAAACAUGUUCAGCCUUGGUGUGUACAAGAAGAAGAAGACAUCAUAGUCUUGAUGGUGGUUACUUGGAUCAGUUUAUCUCUGAUCUAAGUAAGGAAGUGCAUUGGCUAAUGCACACUGUGAAGUUAAGAACAAGUGGCAGCACUCUUAACAUCAUGGAAACAGCCUUGCUUUAGGAAGUGGAAUCAUUGGUAUAGCUGAAGGGUUAGUUUCUAACUGGUCCUUCUGAAGACUCAUGCAUCAGUGUCUGAUGUCUUUGGAAAAGAAGCAGGAAUUCAUCAAGGUGUGAGCUUGGAUGACUUAACUGCAAACCUGCAGGAUGGAGGUUGUUUACUCAAACUUGGUUCCACAAUCAAGUCUAUGAGAACAUUGAACUCUUGUUCUGUGAAGGGAGGAAAUUCUUUCAAGUGGCAGAAGAAGGAGCUGAAUUCAACAGUUAGAUGUCAAAACACAAUGUUAUGACAUUUGGUUCAACAUCAGAUUCUUAGUUGGUGAAGUGGCACAUCAACUUGAGAUAGAAGGGUCUACAGGGUUGUAGAUUGGAUACUUCAAAAAGGUCGUCCUCGUUGCAGUUCUUUGGAGUUGCUGGAUAGAAAGGAUGUUACAUGUUCAUGUCUUAGAAAAUCUAAGUUUUGUUCAACAUGUAGCUUGAAGUUCAAGUCUCACUUGGAAGGUCAGAAUAUCUUUGGGAGAGGUCUGAUAGACGUGGAGAUGUCAAAUAAUGGCAUUUGACUUUUUCAUAUGAGGAUUCAUGAAGGAGGUAAUCAACCAGUGGCAUUUGGUCUAUCUCAGAAGUGAGUUCGAAGAAUCAAGAUAAUCCACAUAUGGCAGCUGAUUAUUCUUGAGGAAAGUCUGAGACAAAUUACUUUUGAGCAGAAAAGUAGUAAGUUGAAGACAAAAGGAGGUGUUUUCUAUUCAUCUCUUGGAGCUUGUGGUAGGAGCUCUGAGCUAUCUAUGGAAGAUUAUCUCUCGUAAUGGGAUGAGAAUGUAUAUGUCCCAAUUUAUGUUUGGGUUCUUUUGGAUCAAGCUGGUGACUCAGUGAUAUCUGAAGAUUAUCAGAUGGUGUUCUUUGUCAUGUUGUGAAGGAUGUCCUAACUAAUGUUAGAACAUUUUGUGAAGUGGUUUCCUGUUCUGGUUAGAAGAGAGAUUGACACAGAGUGUGGAUGUGUUCAGCCAAGAGGGUUGAACAGAGGGUGUGCUCUUGAAGACAUGAAGAUGAGUCUUAUGUUUUCCAUUCAUCAAGUGGUUUGGGUUCUCUUUGAAUCAGGAAGUAUGUGAAGGUCCAACUUUGGGGUGUUGGAUAUGUUCAUGUGUGAUCUCCAAGUUUCAAGAGGAGAGUUGGUUGUUCAUGACAGGGGGAGUUCUGUCUUUGUGCUGCAAGUAAUCAUCAAGCUUGUGGUCUAUGUGUUCUCAGAUAACAAGGUAUGACACCUGAUAUACCUGCUGUGAAGACAGUGUGUGACUACUUGAUCAAAGUUGUGAAGCAAGAUCAAGUGGGUAGUGUCUUGAUCAAAGUUGUAAAGCGAGAUCAAGAGGGGGUAUUCUUGAUUGAAACUGUGAAGUAAAAUCAAGAUUAUGUAUCUGUCACUUGUGUGUAAUUCUGUUUAUGUUGGUCUGUAAUUUAAAGUGUUGCUUUGGCAACAUUUUUGACAAAAAGGGGGAGUAACACCUGUGAUGCCCCAUGACAACAGAGUGUUUUGCUAAACAGAUAUUGAAGAUCCUCCAAGCCAGAGGUAGUGCUGUAGCUGAGGUUCCACUUCUAUGAGUGUGAGUUAUGUGUGCGGCAAUUAGAAGUUUUUAUUUAACUUCUGUAUGUGUGCUGUUAUGUGAAGUUUUUAUUUAACUUCCAUCUGUGUGAGUGUGUUGUUACUCUGAGUGUAUUAGCUAGGUUAAUUUCCUGCUAGAUGUGUGUUUUCCGCUGCUAUGGACUCUGUUGUGAAGCCAAAGUGUUUUAGCCAAAAAUUUGCCAAAGGGGGAGUUUGUAGAUGUUUGAUUGGCUGCAUUGUAUGGUAAAACACUAGCUGGAUUCUAAUGCCUUGACUGAUGUCAUGACAUGCUGUGAAGGUGUUUGUGUGACUGCAUUGUAGGUUAGAAUAUCUAGCUGUACUCUGAUGUCUUGACUGAUGUCAUGACACACUUGAGUAGUUUACUGCAGGAUUAGCUAAUACAGGAUUCAUUGAAUGUCAAACUGGAUGUUAUGACAUUCAUCCCUGUCAGCAGAUACUGAGGAAUAGAACAGUUGGUGUUCUGUUAGAACUCAGUAUUUAUUUUCAGUCUGGUGAUCAAGGAAAUACCAGAUCUGGCAUAAGGCCUACUGUCUGAAUGUCAAACUGGAUGUUAUGACAUUCAUCAUUGACAGCAUAUACUGAACAAUAGACAUAGUGGUGUUCUGCUACACUUCAGUAUGUUUAUCAGUCUGUUCUUCAAGAGGAUAACAGAACUGACUUAAGGAUAAAUAUGUAAAUGUCAAAUUGGAUGCUUUGACAUUUAUUAAUGUAAGCUGUUACUGUAGAAUGGACAGAUUGGUCCUGUACAGUUCAGCAAAUUUGUACAGUCUGUUUUCAGGAAAAACAGACUUAGCAUAUGGACCUUGAUGUCAAGAUGAAUGUUGUGACAUUCAUUCCUGACAGCAUAUGCUAUAUUGUAGGUUGUUUAAUUUUUCUGUUUCAGCAUUUUUCUCAGGCUAAAAUCCAGGAAACCAACAACCAAGCUACAAUUAAGGAACCUAACAAAUAGCCUAUUUGUUAGCACACUAAUAUGUGGAAAUUAGUUAGAAUCCUAUGUGGCAUUAUUUGUGGAGGUCUUGAGAUAUUUUAGGAACUAAAUAUGGAGAUAUUUUAGGAACUAAGAGAUUGAAGACCUUGAUUGUAGCAGAAAUUUUCUGCUGGUUUUGUAACAGCAAAGAACAAGUUUGCUGCGAUUUCUGAAGGCCCAAAUCCAGUUGGGUGAUUAGGUUAUAAAUAGCUUAUUGUAACCUAGUUUUUGUAAGCCUUUUAGAAUGAAUUUUUAGGGGUGUGUGUGAGGUAAACCUCCCAAUCUGUGGGAAGGUUACCAUGUGUUUCUCAGUGUUCAAAGCUGAGAGUGUUUGUAACUCAAAGCCUGUAGGCAAGAGUGAUUAUGUGCUUGAACGAAGCUGUGAAGCAAGUUCAAGUUGUUUUAACAUUACAUUGUAUUUGUAGUGAUAGGAAUGGAAACUGGAGGUUUCUAUCUAGGAGUUCCUAGGUAUAGAUUGCAUUGGGUAGGGAUUAAGUGAAGAGUUGUAAACGGGGGAGUUUAACUCUGAAUUAAUACUGCUGAUAGUGGAUCUUCUUCCUGGCUUGGUAUGCCCCCAAACGUAGGUGAGUUGCACCGAACUGGGUUAACAAUUGCUUGUGUUUUUACCUUCUGCACACUAUAUUUUGUCUGUUAUAACUCAGUCUGGUUUUAGUCUGUUUAUGAAGGGAAUAACAGAUAUGACACAUAGCCUGCAGUCUGAAUGUAAAACAUAAUGUUAUGACAUUCACCAUUGACUGCUGAUAUUGAUGGACUGGUUGGUCUGUUACAGUUCACUCAUCUGUAAUGUUAGGACAGGUGAUGUUCAAACCAAUGUUGAGACAUCAUGCUGAUAACUGGGCAGGAUAAAUAAACAUAAGGGCUAUGUUUGAUCUCUACUGUGUGUUUGCACUAGAUGGACAGAACUAGGUGUUCCUCCAUUCUAGGGUGAUAUAGAAGCAGAUGUCGUGACAUCUGUGAACGUGUGCAUAUUAGUACAGGGUUUAAUAACUGUCUUGCAGUAUUAGUUACAAUGUUGGAUCAGAUGUCAUGACUUGGAGUAGAACAUCUGAAAUCUGACUACACCAGAAUUUCAAUGACGGUUACUUUUCCGUGGUUUUCUACCCAGUAUCCGGUAGAUGUAAUCCCCUCUUUGACGGUUAUCAUUAUCCGAUAUUCGGUAUUGAUAUUCCCUCCCUCUUUCGGAUAAUUGCUCUGAUUAAGCAAUUUUAUCCCCAGUGGGUCCUCUUUCAUUUACCGUUUGCCGGUGAUGUUUGUUACUCCCCUUUUUUUUGAGCAUAUCUCCCAAUAAUCGGUGAUAUGUCUCCUGGAUCGUUGCCUUUGUCAAUGUAUCCCCGGUGAGUCAGCUCUCAUUUAUCCUUUGUUGGUAAUGAUUGUUUCUCCCUUUGAUUGGUCAUCAUUAUAUACCUCGUUUUGGUAUCCCAAUGCCUUUUCUCUCUCGGUUGAUUUAUCCUUUAUUAACCCAGUAACCGGUUGUGGAUAAUCUUCCAUGCGAGUAUAUUAUCUACGUUCUGAUGGUAAUAGAUAAUAUAUCUUAUGCACUCUUUGGUUGAAGUCUUCUGUCCUUCCCCAUUCGAGUAAGAUUCGUAUUCCCUUGGCGGAAUCGAAUGUCCAUCCUAUAAGUCGAGUUUUCUUUUUCAGCCCUCUUUUCGGAUGAUGAGUGUCUUGGGAAUAUUCCCCAAUUCACGCCUCGGUUGAUUUAUCCUUUAUUAACCCAGUAACCGGUUGUGGAUAAUAUUCCAUGCGAGUAUAUUAUCUACGUUUUGACGGCAAUAGAUAAUAUAUCUCAUGCACUCUUUGGUCGAAGCCUUCUGUCCUUCCCCAUUCGAAUAAGAUUUGUAUUCCCUUAGCGGGAUCGAAUGUUCAUCCUGUAAGUCGAGUUUGCUUUUUCAGCUCUCCUUUCGGAUGAUGAGUGUCUUGGGAAUAUUCCACAAUUCACGCUUUGGUUGGUCACCUAUUAUAUGCCCAGUAACUGGUAUCCCUGGUGUUCCUUCCUUCUGCUCCCUAUUAUGACUUUGGUCCCCUGUGGAGUCAGAUUUUCCUGAGUUGAGAUAUACCUUUUUAGGUCCUCCUCAGAUGAUUUGGUUGAUUGAUAUCUCUCACCCUUAUACCGGUCUUAGAUAUUCAUUCUUCCCGAGCUUGUUGUUCUCUCACCCUUAUACCGGUGAUCAGAUCACAUGUCUCAUUGAGCUUGUUACCCAGUAAUUGGUAACACCUCAUCCCGCUGCUCCCCCCAGGAGAGUCAUUUUUUAAGACAUCCCCAGCGAAGUCCCUUAGUGGAUUGUUUUUGUCCGGAUUUUUAUCUGAGGUAUCCAUUGCGGAUAGUUUUGUUGUGUUGGCAUAUUCCCCAAUACAUGCAUUUUCCCCGGCAGGGAUGUUUUGUUCAUAUCUUUCCCCAGCUUGAGUCCGGAUUUUUAUCCGAAGUAUCCAUUGCGGAUAGUUUUGCUAUGUUGGCAUAUUCCCCAACACAUGCAUCUUUGAGUCAGCUUGAGUCUUUCCAAUGGAUUUAUUCCCUUUGGAAACUCUUUUCCCCAGUGUCAAGUCGUGACUUGCUCACGCGGUUUCAGUCCUUUACUCCCCUAGCUUUGAGUCGUGACCUGCUCACGCAUUUCCUUUUCUAUCCCCAUGAGAGUCCACGAUAGAGUCUUUAUCCCUAAUGGGUGUGUUACUCCUAUGGAUUGUCAAUUUCUUCUGGUAUUUUCUUCUUUGUGGACACUUAUCCCCACAGAGUUUUGUUUGUUUUGCAUCAUGAGGUCUCUUAGGGACCAAAAUUUGUCUCUUUGUUAUUAUUUAAGCCCAUUCUACCUCGUCGAGACGAAGAUUUUAACCUUCACUUCUCCGGCUAGAAUGACCUUAAAUAGGGGCAUUUGUAAGACCCCAAUUUUGUCCCUAAGAUCCCUCAUGGCAUCAUAGCAUUGCAUUGCAUAGCCUCAAGGAUCAUUGAGCAUCUUGGCUCCCUUUCCCUUUGGGUAGGGAUCUCUUGUGAGUGGUUUAAGAUCACCAGGAAUGCUUGAAUUGUAUAUCAUUUCUUUUCUUGUUUUGUUUACUAACCAAAAGCACAAAAAUAUGUCAUUUACAUUUUUGUUUGUAGCUCAAGCAAGCACCAGGUCAAGAGCUUCAAGAAGACCCUUUGUGCAAGAGAUGAGGUAUUUUUCUUGAGAUGAGGAUCACAUGAUCAUUAUAAAGAGCUUACAUGAGCUAGGGUUCCAUUUUGAAGCCAUUUCAUCAAGAGAUAAAGGCUCAAGUUCAUCAAGGCAUUUCAAGGUCAUCUAAGGACCAAAAAGUCAACUGUGCAGUCAACUGAGGGCUAUGAGGUGGGGGAAAUGAGUUGAGACACCUCAAUCAUGUUCAAAUGAGGCUUAUUCAUCAUUUUAAUCAUCCAUCUUGAAGAUUCAAAGGUCAUGGCAAAAGUUACUAAAAAUGGAAAAUGACCUAUAAUUCAAAGUUUCCAAAUUUGGCAAGUUUUUAGUCAACAUUCAACUUGACUUGUCAAUGUCAAAGAAGUUUCAAAUGGAUUUUUUUGGUGAACAUGAAAGUUGUAGAUCUUUGUCUCCCCUUUCCAAAAAGUCCUAAUUCAUGUCCAUGUGAUGAAUGGUAGAGAAGUUAUGGUCAUUUCAUCACAAGGUGUGCAUGGAAAUUCAAAAUGGCAUAACUUUUUAUACAAAGCUCCAAUUUGGUCCAUUCUUUUUGCAAAAUGCUCCUCUUGAUCAAGACAUUUCAAAUGAACCUUUGCCAUGCAUGGGAAGAGUGUGUAUGCUCAUCAUUUCUCAUGUGAUCAUUUUGGAGGGAAUUUCCAUAAUUCAAAUUUUGCUUAUGAUACAAGCAAAAUACCACUUCCAUCAUGAUCCUUGGUUGAUUUUAAGUGAAAUCCAAGCUUAACAUGGGACUGUACACGUGUGUUUUGGACAUGCUAGCUUCAUUUGCAUUUUUGCACUUUGCUUGAAAUCUCACUAAUCAUGACUAAACAAAGGCUAAUGUGAUUAUCAUUGUGAUUAGUAUGGAGUACAAAAGCCAAACCCUAACCAUAACCACCAUAACAGAAAAUUUCAGAUCAAAAAUUCAAGAAUUCUCUCAUUUUUCUCUCUCUUCGAAUUUCCAAUUUCUCCACACAAACACCAAAUAUUUUUGUAGAUUCUUGAUCAUCAUGCUUCAUUGAGCAAGAAUCAACCAUUGGUUUGAGCAAUUCAGUCCAGAUUCGAGCAGUUCAAGUGCAAACUCAUAGCAAUGGAAGUUAGAAAUUGAGCUAGAUCCAGGUGGUUUCAAUUGUUUCUUUGUGCACAAAGCUUCAAGGCAAGGUCAAAGGAGUAGAUCUGGAGCUUUUGAGCUGUUGAUAACACAUGUACAGCAACCUUCAUUUCCAGGUUCUAAUUGAUGUGCUUGAGCUCAUGAGUUCAUUUGAAUGCUUGGGCAUUGUUCAUUGAGUUGUGUAACUGUGAAGGAUUCACUGUCUGUCUGUUGGUUUUCUGACUGAAAUAUUAACUGGUUAGCUUUUGUACAGAGAAGCGACUCAAAAGUGGAAAAAGGGCAAAGAGGAAGAGCAAGAGAACAAGGGUUGAAGAAGGGAAAAGCUUGAAGUUAAAGGAUUCGCCGGAUUAACUCAGGUAACGAGCAGUGAUUGAGUAGAAGCUAGUGCUUGGAGUCUAGUGUAGUUCCUUAGUGGGUCAUGCUCUGGUAUAUGUAACAUCGGGACGGGAUGUUUACUUUGUUUUCAUUUGUGGUUGUUGAACAACUUUACAUGUAAUGUGUUACAUGGUUUGCAUGUUGUUGGAUUUCUAUCCGCUGCGAAUUGUGCAAUGUUUUAUUUUGAUUAA